CCCUUAGAUGUUCUGGGCUGCACGCGCGCUACACUGACGCACGCAACAGGUGCCUGCUCCGAGAGGACUGGGUAAUCAUUUGAGUGUGCGUCGUGAUGGGGAUAGAAUAUUGUAAUUAUUACUCUUCAACGAGGAAUUCCUAGUAAGCGCCAGUCAGCAGCCUGCGCUGAUUACGUCCCUGCCCUUUGUACACACCGCCCGUCGCUCCUACCGAUGGGUGAUCCGGUGAAUGAUUCGGACUUCAGCGGCUCCCCUGGGGUGCGCCGGAGAAAGUUUUGUGAACCUUAUCACUUGGAGGAAGGAGAAGUCGUAACA
rnacentral:rRNA from 1 species